GUUUAACAUUUCCUGUGUCGGUAGCUACAUAUUUGCCAGCGUGACCUCGGUUCUUUUGUGCUUCUACAAAUAUGGGAAAUUCGAACAUGAGCAAUUGUAUGUGCCGUACAGUUUAAUUUUACCUUGGAAUCAGACGACGCCCAUUGGAUACUUCGGAGAAAUCGGGUUGAGCAUUUGUUUCGCUGGUUGUUAUUUUUUCAUGAACGGAGUCGUUUUCUUGUUGUUCAUUUCAUUUUGUUUGCAUCAUCAAGCCUUCUACCGAAUGUUGAAAAAUUCAUUGAAAAUAUUCGAUUAUCCGGACAAACAUCGUGAUGAUAAACAAUUGUUGUGUAAACUGAUUCGGUCUCAUAUUUCGGUUAGAAACUGGUUUUCACUUUCGGCUGAAAUUUAUCAACUUUUUCUUUUUGUUGAGAUCGUUUGCAACAUGCUGUUAUUGUCUAUUUCUCUUCUUACCUUGGAUCAAGUAAUUUUCUUUUAACUUCAAGAUAUUUCCAUUUGUGAUGAAUGAACCAACGUUCGAUUUUAUUUGAAUAAUAAUAUUUCAA